CGACUGCGGGGCGCAAUGGCUGAGGCACUGGGACACAGUUUCAGUGGGGCUGCGCGGCUGCUGGAAGGUCUGGGGGGGCCCCUGGGCCACGCCCAAGCUGGGGCAGCUGCGACCGCGCACUGCCUGUGCCUGGUGCGCCGUGACGUGUGCGCUGUGGCUGCCACCAUAGCCACCAUCACCGCCUGUCACCUGCUGCCUGACAUCCGUGGGGAGCUGUGAGAGUGGGAAUGUCUGUGGGGGGGGGGGGGGCAGUGCUGGCAGCUGUGGGGAGCUCCUGGCGUUGUUGUUGCAGUGUCACUGACACUGACCUUCAGCACUGUGUCCAAUGGACUCGAGGGUUGUGGUUGUCACUGAUGACAUUCUCAUUGUCACUGCAUUGCCAGUGCUGUGUCCCCUUGAGCUGAUGCUGCCAUCAACAGCACUGCCGCUGAUCGCUCAGUGUCCCAGCGAUGUCCCUGUGUCACCUGGCCUGUGGGGACCUUGGCCUCACAGUGACGUUGUCAGUGAAUGGAAGCUCCUGACGAUUGAUUGAUGCAGAAUUCUGUAGUUUUGCCCUGUAUAGGGGAUCUGUGGGUUCUGGCACUGACUAAAGCCCUUUGGAGACAUAGCUGCAGCAAGGACACAGCUUUCACUAGAGGGCAGGAUUAAACACACACCUACAGGACGCUCUCCUGCUGUGUCAUGAGGAUCAGAGCAGACCCCGUUGCUGUCUGAACUCUUCAAACCACAGAGGUAAGGAUCCUCAGCACAGCUGGAUCCACUCCUUGUCCCAGACGCGUUCAAGAGUUUGUGUCUAAGGGAUCCUAUGUGCACAAUCAAAGAUAUAACCGUAGUGGAGCUAACAAAGCCCACCCAAACUACUAGUCACUUACUGAGGAUCCGUAUCAACAAGGUGUCUUGACAUCAAGGUGGAAAGGAUCUCUGUGCAGGUGUAACCUCAAGAGGCAUGCCUGCUCAAGGGGAGAGCUGUUCCUCUGUGCAGGAGAGCUCAAGAGGUGCUUGUGCUGCUGUCUAUUUUGGUGGUAAGAUGAUUGACUCAUUGCCGUACUUUAUUUUUAGGCAUAUGCUCAAUUGGCCCUCAGAUGUUGAGCCAGAGGCCUGCUGUCAGUUCUUUCAGCCUCCCAGCUUGAGGCAGUUUUGUGAUCUUUAGUCUGGUUUAGCUAGGAGUGUUGCUCACUGUCUUCCUGUGCAAGGCUGAGGGAGGAAGGUGGGAGAAAGGAAGAAAGGGGGAGGGGGGAG
ensembl:lncRNA